UACGUAGGGUGCAAGCGUUGUCCGGAAUUAUUGGGCGUAAAGAGCUCGUAGGCGGUUUGUCACGUCGGAUGUGAAAACCCGAGGCUUAACCUCGGGCCUGCAUUCGAUACGGGCUGACUAGAGUUCGGUAGGGGAGACUGGAAUUCCUGGUGUAGCGGUGAAAUGCGCAGAUAUCAGGAGGAACACCGGUGGCGAAGGCAGAUCUCUGGGCCGUAACUGACGCUGAGGAGCGAAAGCAUGGGGAGCGAACAGG
rnacentral:rRNA from 1 species